CCUUGGCAGGAGCCCAGUUCGAGUCUUGUGGUGUUCGCUUUCACUCCUUUAGGUAACUAAGGAUGCUGGACGAACCUAAGCAAUGAAUGCAAUCGACGAGUGAAGAAAUUCAGCAGUCAGGUAUUCACCAUGAGACGGCGGCGCUGGAAUACUCCCGCCCGGGUUG
rnacentral:SRP_RNA from 15 species